rnacentral:lncRNA from 1 species
GCAGCAACCCAACAACCGAUUAUCCGAUUCAUCUGAAAAUUCCAGGGCAGAUAGAUCGUGACUUGAUCAACAAUUGUAUUGCCUGUCAGAUUUGCUCUAAAUGCUUUGGUUUUUGAGUUAUAAGCCAAAAACUGCAUUUUACCCCUAUGUUCUAUUUUUCGCCAUGGCGGCCAUCUCGGUUGGUUGGGCGGGGCACUGGACACAUUUUUUAAACUAGAUACCCCAAUGAUGAUUAUGGCCAAGUUUGGUUAAAUUUGGCCCAGUAGUUUCAGAGGUGAAGAUUUUUCUAAAAGAUUACUAAGAUUUACGAAAAAGGGUUAAAAAUUGACUAUAAAGGGCAAUAACUCCUAAAGUGGUCAACUGACCAUUUUGGUCAUGUUGACUUAUUUGUAGAUCAUACUUUGCUG